rnacentral:rRNA from 1 species
GACGAACGCUGGCGGCGUGCUUAACACAUGCAAGUCGAACGGAAAGGCCCUGCUUUUGUGGGGUGCUCGAGUGGCGAACGGGUGAGUAACACGUGAGUAACCUGCCCUUGACUUUGGGAUAACUUCAGGAAACUGGGGCUAAUACCGGAUAGGAGCUCCUGCUGCAUGGUGGGGGUUGGAAAGUUUCGGCGGUUGGGGAUGGACUCGCGGCUUAUCAGCUUGUUGGUGGGGUAGUGGCUUACCAAGGCUUUGACGGGUAGCCGGCCUGAGAGGGUGACCGGCCACAUUGGGGACUGGAUACCGGCCCGACUCCUACGGGAGGGAGCAGGGGGGAAUAAUGCCCCAUGGGCGGAAGCCUGAUGCAGCAACGCCGCGUGCGGGAUGACGGCCUUCGGGUUGUAAACCGCUUUCGCCUGUGACGAAGCGUGAGUGACGGUAAUGGGUAAAGAAGCACCGGCUAACUACGUG